GAGCGGAUGAGAAGAGCUUGCUCUUCGAUUCAGCGGCGGACGGGUGAGUAAUGCCUAGGAAUCUGCCUGGUAGUGGGGGACAACGUUUCGAAAGGAACGCUAAUACCGCAUACGUCCUACGGGAGAAAGCAGGGGACCUUCGGGCCUUGCGCUAUCAGAUGAGCCUAGGUCGGAUUAGCUAGUUGGUGGGGUAAUGGCUCACCAAGGCGACGAUCCGUAACUGGUCUGAGAGGAUGAUCAGUCACACUGGAACUGAGACACGGUCCAGACUCCUACGGGAGGCAGCAGUGGGGAAUAUUGGACAAUGGGCGAAAGCCUGAUCCAGCCAUGCCGCGUGUGUGAAGAAGGUCUUCGGAUUGUAAAGCACUUUAAGUUGGGAGGAAGGGCAGUAAGCGAAUACCUUGCUGUUUUGACGUUACCGACAGAAUAAGCACCGGCUAACUCUGUGCCAGCAGCCGCGGUAAUACAGAGGGUGCAAGCGUUAAUCGGAAUUACUGGGCGUAAAGCGCGCGUAGGUGGUUUGUUAAGUUGAAUGUGAAAGCCCCGGGCUCAACCUGGGAACUGCAUCCAAAACUGGCAAGCUAGA
rnacentral:rRNA from 1 species